rnacentral:rRNA from 1 species
UCUCCGGAUGAGUUGCGAACGGGUGAGUAACGCGUAGGUAACCUGCCUGGUAGCGGGGGAUAACUAUUGGAAACGAUAGCUAAUACCGCAUAAGAGUAGAUGUUGCAUGACAUUUGCUUAAAAGGUGCAAUUGCAUCACUACCAGAUGGACCUGCGUUGUAUUAGCUAGUUGGUGGGGUAACGGCUCACCAAGGCGACGAUACAUAGCCGACCUGAGAGGGUGAUCGGCCACACUGGGACUGAGACACGGCCCAGACUCCUACGGGAGGCAGCAGUAGGGAAUCUUCGGCAAUGGACGGAAGUCUGACCGAGCAACGCCGCGUGAGUGAAGAAGGUUUUCGGAUCGUAAAGCUCUGUUGUAAGAGAAGAACGAGUGUGAGAGUGGAGAGUUCACACUGUGACGGUAUCUUACCAGAAAGGGACGGCUAACUACGUGCCAGCAGCCGCGGUAAUACGUAGGUCCCGAGCGUUGUCCGGAUUUAUUGGGCGUAAAGCGAGCGCAGGCGGUUAGAUAAGUCUGAAGUUAAAGGCUGUGGCUUAACCAUAGUACGCUUUGGAAACUGUUUAACUUGAGUGCAAGAGGGGAGAGUGGAAUUCCAUGUGUAGCGGUGAAAUGCGUAGAUAUAUGGAGG